UCAGCUGCGUGAUAUCGGUGUACCGACGGUCGGAUCGUACUACUCUUGCUAAAUAUGAGGGAGUUAAUGAAACGUUACCAAUCUUUAUCGAGAUUCUAUGCCACCCUUGGAAAAAACUGGGUGCUAACAGCUGGUGCAUGGGGAACAGGACUGGGAGUUGUUUUCUUGUACGUAACAGACUGGAAAGUUGUCACCCAAAAGAUUCCUUUUAUUAAGGAUAAAUAUGAUCAUGAAAUUCCUAAAUGAGCGGAGAGCUGAGAUUUGCACAGAUGCCAUGUUGCUUUAAGAUGUCAGAGGACUGAAUAAUUAUUUUACAGCUUCAAAUAUUUCCAUUUCUGAAGCCAAUGACCUUCUGGUGUUGUAAAGACUGUUGAUUAUUAAAUGGUACAUUUGUUUAUAG